GGAUGAACGCUGGCGGUGUGCCUUAAGCAUGCAAGUCGAACGGAGAGAUGAUGAAUCGCAAGAUUUGUUGUCAAUCAGUGGCGGACGGGUGAGUAUAAGUAGGGAACGUACCUUGAACUAUCGCAUAGCUCGUCGAAAGACGGGGUAAUACGGUAUGUGGACGCAAGUCUAAAGUCGCAAGACGGUUCUAGAGCGGCCCUAUUCCCAUCAGCUAGUUGGUAGGGUAAUGGCCUACCAAGGCGACGACGGGUAGGGGGUGUGAGAGCACGACCCCCCACAAUGGCACUGAGACACGGGCCAUACAUCUACGGAUGGCAGCAACUGGGAAUAUUCGGCAAUGGGCGAAAGCCUGACCGAGCGACACCGCGUGAGGGAUGAAGUAUUUCGGUAUGUAAACCUCUUUUAUAUAGUCGUCGAGGCUAUAAGAAUAAGCACCUACAAACUACGUGCCAGCAGUCGCGGUAAUACGUAGGGUGCAAGCGUUAUCCGGAUUCACUGGGCGUAAAGAGUCGUGUAGGUGGUAGACCGCAUCGCACUUGAAAGCCCGAGGCUUAACCUCGGCGUUGGGUGCGAGAUGGGUAUACUCGAGGGUGAGAGAGGAAAGGGGAACUCAUGGUGGAGCAGUGAAAUGCGUUGAGAUCAUGAGGAACACCAAAGGCGAAGGCACCUUUCUGGCUUACUUCUGACACUGAGACACGAAAGCUAGAGGAGAGAAGCAGAUUAGAGACCUGCGUAUUUCUAGCCCUAAACGCAUGCCUGCUAGUUACUCUGCGUAAGCGGAGCGACGUAAGCUAACGCGUUAAGCAGGCCGCCUGGGGAGUACGAUCGCAAGAUUAAAACUCAAAGGAAUUGACGGGGACCCGCACAACCGGUGGAGCGUGUGGUUCAAUUCGAGACAAAGCGAAAAACCUUACCAAGUUUUGACAUGCUACCGUUUUAACUCGCUGGAAACAGUGGGCUAUCCGCAAGGAUGGUAGCACAGCUGCUGCAUGGCUGUCGUCAGCUCGUGCCGUGGGGUGUUCCAUUAAGUUGGAGAACGAGCGCAACCCGUAUCCGAUGUUACAAGUGUCAUCGGAGACUGCCCUGGUUUUUUCCAGGGAGGAAGGAACGGACGACGUCAAGUCAGCACGGCGCUUAUAACUUGGGUUACACACACCCUACAAUGGCGAAUAACAAUGGGACGCAAGCCGGUAACGGCAAGCAAAUCCCCACUAAAUUUCGCCUCAGUUCAGAUUGAGGUCUGCAACCCGACCUCAUGAAGUCGGAAUCGGUAGUAAUCGCGAAUCAGAAGGUCGCGGUGAAUACGUUCUCGGGUC
rnacentral:rRNA from 1 species